rnacentral:lncRNA from 1 species
UUUCUUUCCUUUCUAGACAAGUUGGCAUUAAGAAUGGAAUGUUUUUUGGACAUGCUAAACAGCUGUGUCCUAAUCUGCAGGCUGUUCCGUAUGACUUCCAUGCAUGCAGGGAAGUUGCCCAAGCAUUGUAUGAAACACUGGCAAGCUACACACACAGCAUUGAAGCUGUCAGUUGUGAUGAAGCCCUGAUUGACGUCACUGACAUCCUUGCAGAGACUAAACUUUCUCCUGAGGAGUUUGCAGCUGCCCUGCGUAUGGAAAUCAAAAACAAGACUCAGUGUGCUGCCUCUGUUGGGAUUGGUUCUAAUAUUCUUCUUGCUAGAAUGGCAACUAAAAAAGCAAAGCCGGAUGGGCAGUAC